rnacentral:rRNA from 1 species
AAGGUAGCAUAAUAAUUUGUGUUUUAAUUGAAUACUGGAAUAAAAGGCAUAACAUAUAUAUAAUAUAAAUUAAAUUAUAAUAACUUAGAAUUAGAAUAAAAAUAUUCUAGUAUAUCUAAGGGACGAUAAGACCCUAAAAGUUUUAUUUAAUAAAAAGUUGUAAUAAAAAAAAAUUUUACUGGGGCAGUAAUUCUGAAUAAUUCAGAGGAUGAUAAGACACUAUUAGUGGUUUAAAAAACCUUUAUAUAAAGUAAUUAGUAUUAACUACUUUAGGGAUAACAGCAUAAUAAAUUUGAAGAGACCUUAUCUAUAAAUUUGAUUAUGAC